GACGAACGCUGGCGGCGUGCUUAACACAUGCAAGUCGAACGCUGAAGCUCAGCUUUUGUUGGGUGGAUGAGUGGCGAACGGGUGAGUAACACGUGAGUAACCUGCCUCCUUCUUUGGGAUAACGCCCGGAAACGGGUGCUAAUACUGGAUAUUCACUGGUCUUCGCAUGGGGGUUGGUGGAAAGGGUUUUUCUGGUGGGGGAUGGGCUCGCGGCCUAUCAGCUUGUUGGUGGGGUGAUGGCCUACCAAGGCUUUGACGGGUAGCCGGCCUGAGAGGGUGACCGGUCACAUUGGGACUGAGAUAGGGCCAAGAGUCCUACGGGAGGCAGCAGUGGGGAAUAUUGCACAAUGGGCGCAAGCCUGAUGCAGCGACGCGGCGUGAGGGAUGGAGGCCUUCGGGUUGUGAACCUCUUUCGCUCAUGGUCAAGCCGCAACAAUGGUUGUGGUGAGGGUAGUGGGUAAAGAAGCGCCGGCUAACUACGUG
rnacentral:rRNA from 1 species